AGCGAACGCUGGCGGCAGGCCUAACACAUGCAAGUCGAGCGCCCGUAGCAAUACGGGAGCGGCAGACGGGUGAGUAACACGUGGGAACGUGCCCUUUGGUUCGGAAUAACUCAGGGAAACUUGAGCUAAUACCGGAUAAGCCCUUACGGGGAAAGAUUUAUUGCCGAAGGAGCGGCCCGCGUCCGAUUAGCUAGUUGGCGGUGUAAUGGACCACCAAGGCUACGAUCGGUAGCUGGUCUGAGAGGAUGACCAGCCACACUGGGACUGAGACACGGCCCAGACUCCUACGGGAGGCUG
rnacentral:rRNA from 1 species